GUACCUCAUACAAGUGGAAGCUGCAGGAUUUGCCUUGAGCACUGGGAGUGUUUCGUUUAGCACAGUACCUUCUACACUGUCAACGUGGCACCCUGAAGAAGAUUUAAUCUUACACGAAGACACAUUUUCUUCCACCACUCACCUGUCAAUGGACAAACAGGUUGUCUCCUAAGUUGGUUAGUGUGAACACUGCUGCCAUGAAAAUGAACACACAGCUACCUGUCUGAGGUCAUGAUUUCAAUUCUUUGGAAUAAAUACCAAGAAGUAGGACUUUUGAGUAACAUUGUAGGCUGAUUUUAAGUAUGGAGGAAGCCCUGCAUAACUUUCAGAUCAUUAACAGCAAUGACCAAGACUCCCUUUCUUCAUAUUCUUGCCAGUACUCUUGCCAUCUUCUGGGUUUCCCUUCUGAAUCAGCUGUUCUGAGUGGUGCGAUGCAGGACUUCACCGUGUUCCUAUGUUUUCUGACGACUCAGCAACCCAGAAGCACCACACUCCACUCCCUGUACGCGUGGAAGGGGAGUUCUCUCCGCCUCUCCCUGUAGAUAGACUCAAGGAUCCACAACCGGAUGAAGAGAGCCGGUUGGAGCAGAAGUUCUCCGUGGGUGACCUCGACCCUACACUCCACACUCCUGUCCAGCUUCGGUGUCUGCUGUCUGUCCAGCACGGGGGCAGCAUCCUAGACGCGGUUUCUGCGGACCCUCCCUUCCAGUGUAGCCACCAAUCGCAGUGCGGCAACCUGAGAUGUCAACAGAGCAUCCUCCCAGGUGGAGACCAGCUGUCCAGCUGUCCUCUGAGAGUGCUCCCUGUACUGGCCCGGGGCCUUUGCUACCAAAGAUCUCAGUGUAAGUUUAUUUUCGACGGUUAAGUUUCUUUCUUUCUUUCUUUCUUUUUUUUUUAUUUUCCUGUGUGCAGGAACGUUUGUUGAUAUCCAUCUUUAAGUAGGUAAACGUGUUCAGUGUAGAGUACUCAAUAAACAAAGUCUCUGUCAGGGACUGCCAGGCUGACUGUCGUGUAGAAAAGAAAACAAAUAGAACACAAACAAAUAGAAAAUACUGGUUACAGUAAAAUGUCACCUUAUGCAAAACAAGAGUCCACUUGCUGGCACACUUGUGGACCUUUCUGGUAAUUCUUUUUCUGGGGUCCUAACAAGUAUGAUCUCCAGUAUACACAAAGCUAUAAUAAACCAUCUCUUCUGCUGGUUAGGGGGUCUACCUAUCAUCUUAAGGAAAAGUGUGUUUAUAAAGACAUUUUCUGAUACUCAGCAUAAUUCUCACUUCAAAGAAAGCUUGUGUUAUUUACUAAUAGUCAGUUGUCAUGGGGGGAGGGGGAGUGGCUCACCAAUGGUGACCUAACAGACCACCAGGGACAUGGAGUGCUUUCUGAAGUCUCAUAAUACAAUGUAAGUUAGUUCAGAGCUGCCAGUCCCACUGUUUGUUCUUACCAGGAACACCCAGCCCUUCCUUCGCAUUUUAUAGAGUCUGUAUUGUAACAAGGGCAGCACUUUAGAUCGUCAAAGACGAAACAACAGAAGUGUAUGUGUGAUAAGGGACACUCAGAAUUCUCCAUUAGUGUGGACACGGACGGAUGGACGGAUGGACAGACGGACACACACAC
rnacentral:lncRNA from 1 species